UGUGGCUUUUCUUGAUCUAUAUGUAUUAAUAAUGUUGGGAUAGUUUUAGAAAGUGGGACUGGUUAAAGAGGAUCACAGGUUUCUUUUUUGUCUUGUCAGGUCAAUAUAGGAUCACAGGUUUCUUUUCUCUCUUGCUAUGUCAACAUAGGAUCACAGGUUUCUUUUCUCUCUUGCUAUGUCAACAUAGGAUCACAGGUUUCUUUUCUCUCUUGCUAUGUCAACAUAGGAUCACAGGUUUCUUUUCUCUCUUGCUAUGUCAACAUAGGAUCACAGGUUUCUUUUCUCUCUUGCUAUGUUAACAUAGGAUCACAG
rnacentral:sRNA from 1 species